GACGAACGCUGGCGGCGUGCUUAACACAUGCAAGUCGAACGGAAAGGCCCUGCUUUUGUGGGGUGCUCGAGUGGCGAACGGGUGAGUAACACGUGAGUAACCUGCCCUUGACUUUGGGAUAACUUCAGGAAACUGGGGCUAAUACCGGAUAGGAGCUCCUGCUGCAUGGUGGGGGUUGGAAAGUUUCGGCGGUUGGGGAUGGACUCGCGGCUUAUCAGCUUGUUGGUGGGGUGGUGGCUUACCAAGGCUUUGACGGGUAGCCGGCCUGAGAGGGUGACCGGCCACAUUGGGACUGAGAUACGGCCCAGACUCCUACGGGAGGCAGCAGUGGGGAAUAUUGCACAAUGGGCGGAAGCCUGAUGCAGCAACGCCGCGUGCGGGAUGACGGCCUUCGGGUUGUAAACCGCUUUCGCCUGUGACGAAGCGUGAGUGACGGUAAUGGGUAAAGAAGCACCGGCUAACUACG
rnacentral:rRNA from 1 species